GACGAACCGUGCGAACGUUGUUCGGAUUCACUGGGCUUAAAGGGCGCGUAGGCGGGCGGUCAAGUCAGGGGUGAAAUCUUUCGGCUCAACCGGAAAAGUGCCUUUGAUACUGGCCGUCUCGAGGGAGGUAGGGGCAUGCGGAACUUCCGGUGGAGCGGUGAAAUGCGUAGAUAUCCGCAGGAACAUCCGAGGCGAAAGCGGCUCGCUGGAUCACAACUGACGCUGAGGGACGAAAGCUAGGGGAGCAAACAGG
rnacentral:rRNA from 1 species